GGACGGGUGAGUAACGCGUGGGUAACCUGCCUUAUACAGGGGGAUAACAGUUAGAAAUGACUGCUAAUACCGCAUAAGCGCACAGGAUUGCAUGAUCCGGUGUGAAAAACUCCGGUGGUAUAAGAUGGACCCGCGUCUGAUUAGCUUGUUGGUGAGGUAACGGCCCACCAAGGCGACGAUCAGUAGCCGACCUGAGAGGGUGACCGGCCACAUUGGGACUGAGACACGGCCCAAACUCCUACGGGAGGCAGCAUG
rnacentral:rRNA from 1 species